AAUUGACAGGAAAAAAAUGGUGAGAAAAUAGAGAGAAAAAAAACCAAAACAGGGAAGAGUGCGUAUGCAUCGUGAGUUUUUGCCGAAGGGACACCAACUUCCUUCGGGAGUGAGAUGAGCUCUUUUCUUUCUGCUGUUUUGGCUCUUCUUUCCCUUGCUUCGUAUUGUCUUCCCUAACCAUUUUAAGCUAUCAAAAUAGCGCAGCAAGCUUUAAACAGAAGCAUCAUUUCUACUGUUGUCGUCAACCC
rnacentral:lncRNA from 1 species